CUCUCUCUCUCUCUCUCACCUAUCUAAGUUCCCCAUCUCAUCUCUUUCUCUGGCCUCGUGCGGCGGCGUAGGUCACGGCGGCGACACAUCAAGGGCGAGAUUGGUGGCCGGAUUUAAGCGGCGGUGACUGCUUCCAGGGCGUGUGGGGGUAGAGCUAGCCAUGUCACGGUGGAGGCGCCAGCCAAAGAGCGCGGGAAGGCAGGCAUGUUUUUGAUCGGCGAUGGUGUAUUCGAUCUUGGGCCGCGACGCGGUCAAGGGAUAUCACCAGCCAAUCCCUCGCCGCCCUCAAGCCAAACACCACUUUCAAGGAUUCAGGGAGUGGGAGCAGCUGGGAGGAGGAAGAAGACUCCACAAUUGCCAUGGGGAAAACCGGAGGAGAGUGAGGGGAGUAGGGGAUGCUGUGAGAAACUAAGGGCUCAGCCUGCUCUCCCCGAACCAAAGACGAAGGGGUGGCCACAUCCCGAAAUUGUCCCCACAUAGCUUCGCCAGUGAGGUCACACUACUUCAACAAAUCAAAGACCGCAGAAGGUAAAAUGGUGAACAAACCAUCAUCUAUUUAUACUAAAUAUUUUUAUCUUUUCAUAGAUCAUUUGUUCGCUAAAUAUUAACUUUAAUUUUUGAUGGUACAUGCAUUAACUUGCAAUUAUAUUAUUUAGAAACAUUACAACCGAGCACUUUUCCAGCCCUCUCAGGCUAUUAGUAUCUCAACCGUCGGAUCUGCACUUCUAGGCGUUUUUGGCCGUUGGAUGCACCUUCCACCCCGCUGGGAGCCCUAAACGGACUGGGCCGAUGCUCCCGCAACAAAAUCAGCGAUCUGCUGUUGUUUGGGCCUGCCGGACCGAUGCUCCCACUACAUGCAUGAGCAGUCCUCCCCUCGCCCCCACUCCCUGACGGCCUGACCUCUCGUCUCUCGUCUCUCGUCUGGGAUUCAGUUGCGCAGCCACUGCCGAAAUCCCCAUCCCCAUCCGUGGAAGGACGCCUCUUCUUCGCCCAGCCGCCGCCAUCCUCCUUCUCACGUUUUUACCCUCAAGAUGCAACAGGAAGAAUCCCCUCCCCGCACCCUCCACUCCACCCGAUCCCUCCAGGUGCGCCGCCGCUGUGGUCGUAUCCGCAGAGAGAAAUAGAGAGAGGUGUGGUGAAAAUGUCAACGGCGGGCCAAACGGAUCGCCAAGCACAUCAUGCGGAGUGGAGCUACUCAGAUCGCUGCCCUUCUAGACCGAGCCUCCAAAUCUCGCACGAAAAAAGGAGAUCAUGGCGAAGGAGGCGGCCGGAGUCACUUCCUCCAUCCGUCCUCUACAGGUCUGUGUAUCUCUCCUACUUCUGUGCAUCCUCCGUCACCGACCAACCCAGUCUCAUUCCAAUCCCUCGUGUGCGAGUGAUCGCCUGAUGCGAAGCGACACGAAGCCAUGCGUGCUUCACCGAUCGAUGCGGGGCGAGGCGAUGUAGGGCUUCACCGAUCGAUGCAGGGCGAGGCGAUGUAGGCAGCCGAUGCGGGGAAGGAGAGGGGUUUGGAAGCGGCUGUCGUGGCGCGUUGGUUGAACUCGCAAGGGCUACUAUGUGGUUGCAGCGGACACCUCUCGGGGAAAACCUAGGCUAGGCACCGACUUCACCGUUCUGGUCCUUCGGACCCGAUCUGAAUCUCUUCCUGCUUGUCAAGUAGGUCGUCAGCCACAUGUGCGUUGCCAUCCAAGUUCCAAGAUGGCCUCUGCCCUGCUGCACUUACUACACGCUGGUCGUCCUUGCAUACAGGUACAUCUCAAGAUGGCCGCCGCCCUGCUGCACUUGCUCCACGUUGGUAGUCGCUUGCCUACAGGUACAGUUCUCCUUCCCCCUUAUGCCAUAUGCCUAGGCCACAGGGGAAUGCCAUGCUUCAGACGAUGAAAACACGAGAAUCAUCCCAAAAGAAAUGGCUGUAGACACUCUCAUGCAGCUUGCUAGGUCUUAGAAUAUCUGCUUUACGCGAGAGCUUUGACAUGAUACAAGGCCCCUGACAAUUAUCACUGAUACACUCAAUUGAAUCAUGUGAGUUCCAUUGUAUCUAUUUAAUCAUUUUUUUCUACUUGUUCAAGAUAUUCCAAAUAAACUCAAAUUUCUCUUAAUUCUUUUAUGUACAGUUUGAUCGUUUUCUGAAGUGUAAAAUUUAUGUUGGUGAUACUUUUUUAAUUGGUUCUUUCUCUUUUACAGAAUUGAGCAGAAAGAAAAGAAUAUGAUUUUUUGUUUGCUUUAACAAUGAAAGGUUCGUACUUGGAAAAUACUUCAAUUCUGUCACAGGAGUUGAUGCUCAAGUUUCUUAUGCAUUUAAAUCUGAGGGGAAACCACAUGCAGAAAAAUUCAAGAAUCAGUUGUAUAACCAGCAACUAUACUAGAAGCUGGGAUGUACAACGAGGAUGGUUACGUGCCUCUUUUAAGUUAUCCAGUGUUACAUUAAUUCUUUUCUUUGUACUAAUUUGGUAAAAAAAGUGGAAUUCCAUCUUUGAAAAAUGAUGUUAGUGAGCAUCUCAAUUUAAAUUUUUACAUUCCAAAAUAGUCAAGUUUUUUACGUAACAUUUUAUUUGGCUCGCAUAAUUCUUGAAUGCCUUCCAUGGGAUGACAGGAAUCUUGCUCAUCUAGCAAAAUAAAAGAUUUCGAAAAAAAUUGGAAGGUGGGAAAACUUGGAAUUUCUCGGAGGUAUUGUGAUGGCGGUGCCCAUGUAGUUUGGGAAAUUUUGCUUUCAGCUUGGAUGAAGCUUUGUCAUAAAUGACGGCACAUAUAAUCUUAAAGGUAAGAGGCUUUAGUUGCUUAUAAGUAAUAAGGUUUAUACAUCUUGCGGUGGAUUCAACCUACAAACCUCAUAAAGUGCUCCCCCAGUGUCCGACUAAUCAAACCCUGAAAGCUUCCGCUGAUGGUAUUUAAAAAAAGUUGUGUGGUUACAGGUUUCCUACAUGUUUUUGGUCACCAUGCAUUUCCUUCCCAUUUAAUAAAUGAAUUCGCACAAAAUAAAUAGUCAAAUUUUAACUUCUGAGAUAGGGCAAAGUCAAUAACAGUGGAACAUAUAGUAUGUUAAAUGUUGAUUGCUCUGGCUUACAUGAUGAUAGAUUGCUUCUUGAAAGCUCUUUUUGUAAAGAGUAAUGCUUAUACUGGAUAUUUGAGGGGAGGUUUAACUCAAUAGAUAUUGUUACAGAUUGUUUUCUUCUUAUUUUUUGAGUCUACCUGAUUUGUGAGUUUAGCACUGUAACGAUUGAUAUCUAGAACUCUUUUAAAUUGGUGUCAUAGUUGCUUUACCCAUUACUGACUUACCAUUCUCAAACUUUUUGUAUCACAUAUUUUUGUGACUCUGCACUUGUCUGCUGCCUCUAGGUAAAAUUUCUAAGCAGAGAUAACCAUUGAUAUAUGUGUUACAAUACUUACUAUGAGCCAUAUGUGAGCCCUUUUCCUUGCAGUUUUAUGGUUUUUUUCAUUUUCUGUUGUCCAUCAAUUAGUUGAACCAUUAACAUGACUGCAGACUAUUUCAUAGGUGAGCCUGGGUCCAUGACUAAGAUUUCGUCCCGCUAGCGCAGCCUGAGCCCACUAAACAUUACUUUUAUUGUACUAGGAAAAUAUUUAGGCUCGGAGAAAAUAAGUAAAGAAUAAUAUUCUUUAGGUUAUGAGCUUAUCGUUUCUGAAGCUUGGCCAGCUUCGAUCAUCAUGACCAUCUAUGACAAUAAUAAAUUGAAUAUUUCUCCUUUUUUACUAUAUUUGUAGUGGACUUAUCGUUCGUAUGGGUAAUGUAGUUUACUAAUUCCGUGAGAAGUACCAAGAGGACACAAUGUUACAAUUGGAACUAUUUGUAGCUCUUGACUUUCCUGGUUAGGUUGUUAUCCCAUGGAAUAACUCUCUUUGUUCUGCCUGUUUAGGAUAGACUCUGACUUAACCAACUUCGGCACUCUGAAGUUUUGCUACAGUGCUCUUCUCUAGCUGCUGAGCUCCCUCAUUUUGUGAGAUUUAGUUAAUCUAUGCGUUCCUCUUAUUCCACAAAGUAGAAAGUUGGCAAACUAUUUGACCAUGUGUACGAUUACAUGCAAUUAUGAGUAUAACAUUUCGUGUAUUUCGUUACAGCCCAAGCUAAGAUAUCUUCAUUUUAUUAUAAGAUCAAAGAUACAUAAUCAGUAAAUCUACAUGCUUUCUUAUAUCAUAUUGCUGCAUAUUAAUUAUUUGUGUUGUACUAAUGUAGGAUGUGGUUGUAUUUGAUCGAAAGAUCCAGGUUGGGAAAGGCACAUUUCUUUGACAAGCACAAGUAAUGGAAGGACCAAAAGAUCCAUAUUAGGAGGACACAGUUCCAAGGUACAAGCACAUGUCAUGGAAGUAUUGCUACCAGUGGUUGUAAAGUCCACAUAUCAGUAUGUGAUGUGGAUGAAUGAUGUUAUAUCUUCUUGCUUUGUAUGUCUAAUUUUAUGAUGGUGAAUUGAUGGAUGUUGACUAUUGGACAAGUGAUGCCAAUUAUUUUACCUUGCUAAUUUCUAAUGAGUAAUGCAAAAUUUUGUCUCG